ACACACACACACACACACACACACACUACAUAGCUGGGAUAGUGGCACUGUGUCUUAAGCUUUUCACCAUUCAAUUCUACUACAAUAGUAGCAGAGUCAGAGGAGGGCAAGCAGACACACCCCAGGCCUCCAACAUCUACCAUGGCAUUACUGUUCCCUUCUGUAGUCAAAACAGUAGUCAGCUUGCUUGCUUGCUUUUAUUGGUUAUUUUGUUUAUUUACAUUUCAAAUGUUCUCCCAUUUCCCAGUUUCCCCUCUGCAAGCCCCCUAUUCCAUCCUCCUCCCCUACCUCUAUGAGGGUGCUUCCCCCAACCCCCUCCCAUCUCACCUCUCUAGCAUCCCACUAUGCUGCAUCAUCAAGCCUCCACAGGACCAAGGGCAUCCCCUCCCAUUGAUGCUAGAUAAGACAGUCCUCUACUACAUAUGUAGCUGGAGCCAUGGGUCUCCCCAUGUGUACUCUUUGGUUAGUGGUUUAGGUUCCUGGGGUCUGUUUGGUUGAUACUGUUGGUUCUUCUUAUGGGGUUGCAAACCCCUUCAGUCCUUUCUCUAACUCCUCCAUUGGGGACCCCAUGCUAUAUCCAAUGGUUGGCUGUGAGCAUCUGCAUCUGUAUUGGUCAGGCUCUGGCAGAGCCUCUCUGGGGACAGCUAUACCAGGCUUCUGUCAGCAAGUGCUUCCUGGCAUCAGCAAUAAUGUCUGGGUUUGGUGCCUGCAGAUGGGAUGAAUCCAUAGGUGGGACAGUCUGGAUGGCCUUUAAUUCAGUCUCUGUUCCACUCUCAGUCCCUGUAUUUUCUUUAAAAAGGAACAAUUCUGGCUUAAAAUUUUUGAGAUUUGUGGGUGGCCCCACCCCCUCAACCGGGGGCUGUGCCUAUUCCUUGGUUAUGGUCUCUACAGGUUCUAUCAAGUGACACUCAGAAGGCAGAGGCAGUUGGAUCUCUGUGAGUGUGAGGCCGACCUACCUGUUCUACAUAUCGAGCUCCAGUACAGCCAAGGUUUUACAGAGAGAACCUAUCUCAAAAGACAAAAGAACUUAAAACUUGACACAUGAAGGUUUUAAAGACACAAGCAAGAGUUAAAAAUAAUUAGCUUACUGAUGUAAUCUGUUGACAGUAGCAGAUUCUAUUAAAUAUAAAUACCAAGAUAUGGUAAAGCAUUUGCUAAAAUGCAAAAAUAAGAUGCAAUACAAAUUAUGAAUCAAAACAUCAGGAAAGUAGGAAAACAAUGGACAUUCCAUUUCCUAAUAAUGACUUGACCAAUAGUGCAGAGAAUGUCACAUCUGAUGGUGAAAUGUUCAUAUAUCUCUUAGAUUGGGGCAGUGUUUUAGCGGGGCUCUUCUCACCCAAGAGAGGAGGGCGGGAUCAGCUCUUCAUGAAUUUGAAGUUUUUGCUGAGUCACACAGACCUAGCCCGGAGCAUGCAGAGGCAGACCAUGAUGAAUCAGCAGAUGGAUUUUUGUUUUUGUUUUUGUUUUUGUUUUUUGUUUGGGGAUUUUUUUUGUUGUUGGUGGUGGUGUUUCAUUACACUCUGUUUGUUGGUUUGUUUAUUUAUGGGGAGAAGAAAGCAUUUUAUUUCCCUGACUGUUCAUGUGAGUUUAUGAAUAUUAACCUGUUUUAUUUUAAUCAGUCUCAGAAGUGACUCAACCUUCUGUAGCUCACAUGUUCUAUGGCAUGAAUCAUAAAAUAAUUUCAUAACAGGAUAGAUGCAACCUUUCCUAUAAAUUUAGUAGGAACUCGAGUUUUGUAGCAUCUCUGAGUCGCCCUUAGAAGCCUGCUCCUUUCUACUGAGAGACAGAAAGGGAGUGGAUCUGGCCAGAAGGGGAGGUGGGGGUGGGGGGAGCUGGGAGGACCAGAGGAAGAGGAAACUCUAAUCAGGAUAUAUCAUAUGAGAAAAUGAGAGUAAUAAAGUACUUAUGUGAGUUUCAUCCAAAACUUGAUUAAAUUAGGAAUACAAGACAUUAGGCCUUCAACGAUGAUUAUUUAGCUCUAAAGUAUUUAAGUAUUAUAAUCAGAAACAUAUUAAUACUUAUUUUCUGUCUUGUCUGUCUCCAUCUCUAUCUCUGUCUCUCUGUCUCUGUCUCUCAAUCUCUCUCUCUCUGUUUGUGUGAGUGUGUGAGAGAGAGAAAGAGAGAGAGAGACAGAGACAGACAGACAGAGAGAGAGAGAGAGAGAGAGAGAAAGAUCAUAUGGACUGAGAAAGGUGUGUGUGUGUAAAACUAGCAGUUGGCAGCCACACACACACACACACACACACACACCCUCCUUCCCUCUCCCUCUCUCCCUCCCUUCCUAAACAUUCUUUAAGUCUCUUAGUUUUAUUUAUAAGCUCUUUCUAUGCCAUCCCCACUCAUUCCCAACAUACCCGCCCCCAACUUCAUGUCUAAUUUUUUCCUAAACCAUUGAGUCAAAUCAGUACUGCCCAUAUGCACACUUGUGUGGCGUCAUGCAUCAGGCCAGCUAUUAUCAACACAGCUAUUAUCCUGUACAACAGCUCUAUCACAGCUCCAAACCAGCCCCUCAGAGCAUUCCUCCUCAUCCUCAGGCUCUUACAUCCUUGACCCCUGUGCUAUGACAUUACCUGCAUCUUGGGAGGGGACUGAUGUAGCUGCCCCGUCUAUGUCUCUCAGCAUUUUGAACAGUUGGAGUCUCUAGAGACUAUCCUCUGCAAUAAGAAACAUCUCUCACAUGGGUUCAUGAGAACACAUUAGUUCAUGUUUAGUGGGGCCGUGAGAAUAAAUCAAACCAAAUUCAUAUGUUGACUCAAAUACAAUAAAAUCUAAUUUCUUGCUCGCUAAGCCAUGUGUGUGGCCAGUGGUUGGCCUCUCUGCUCUAAGAUUUUACGGUUGCAGCUAUUGCUCGCUUGGUACACCAUCUCCAAACUCAUCUAAAGAGGGGAAAUGACAAGAGAAAUCCAACCAUUUCUUUAGAUUAGGACUCACAAAUGGCAUGCAUUUCUCCUGGUUAUCUUCCACUGGUGAAAAGGAAUUCCUUCCUCAUUGUGAAUGGAGUAGUGUUUGGAAUUAGAAAAAAGAUAAUGUCAAAACUUGGUCAAAAGGAUGGCCCACGAUGAACAAUACCUUGGAGAACUGUGAGAGAGGCUCUGUGAAAAAGGCAGAGAGCCUUUUACCUCAGGUGCAUUUCCUUGGGUGUGAUUUUGUGUCUCCUGUGUUACAUAUUUACAUUCAAUUUAUAAGGCAUGUUUAUCCUUCUUGGAUGUCAGACCAUAGCUGUAGAACCCAGUCUGGUCAGUGUACCCUGAAUCUGGAUAUGACCUUCUGCCUCACUUCCAUGCUUUCCCAGAUAUAAUCUAUAGUACGUGCCAGGCCAUUGCAUUUCAACUGCUCUGUCCUGAGAAAGUUCUGGGAAAGGGCUGCUCUGUCAACAUUUACUAUGGGCUUACUGACAUUUAUUGAUAUAUUUUUCUGACCAUGUGUUUUAGAGCUCAGCCUUUUUUAGAUCAUUGCUUUCUUUGUUAAAUCCGUGUAUAUAAAUGUACACUGAAAUUGAAGUCAGGUUGUCUGUAGACUGCAGUCUGCCCCAUUCUGCCAGGUCCUCAGAUCCUAGCCAACAAGAUCUGCACAGGUCAAUGGAAGAGGGCACAGAAAGAAGAUAAGAUGUCUUGGUGAAGGGUUGGUGGUGUCUGACAGAGAGGGAAGGUGUUAGGACAGUCAAGACCACCGUGAAGGUCCUCCUUCCUCCUAUUUUGGAACAUUUACUAUGGAGUUCCAAACUGCCUUGCAUAUAAGAAUUGAUGCAACAAAACUACUUGAAAGCAUAGAUUAUUUAAAAUCUCACACACAUAUAUCUAGCAUUUGAGAGAGGAGACAUAAAAAACAAUCAAAAAUGAAAGGAAAGAACUUAAAUAGUCAAUGCCAGGGCAAUUUGCUUAACAGAUAUAAAAGAAACACAGUUGCCAACAGCAUCUUACUUAGGUCCUGUGGUCUCACACUGUAUAUACACAGCUUACUGACC
rnacentral:lncRNA from 1 species